UCCUCAGUGGUCCAAUGGUUAAGUGUUCACCGUAAAACCUGAAUGUCAUGGGUUCGAUUCCCCGGGGGAA
rnacentral:tRNA from 1 species